rnacentral:rRNA from 1 species
ACAUGCAGUCGAACGGUAGCACAGAGAGCUUGCUCUUGGGUGACGAGUGGCGGACGGGUGAGUAAUGUCUGGGAAACUGCCCGAUGGAGGGAUAACUACUGGAAACGGUAGCUAAUACCGCAUAACGUCUACGGACCAAAGUGGGGGACCUUCGGGCCUCACACCAUCGGAUGUGCCCAGAUGGGAUUAGCUGGUAGGUGGGUAACGGCUCACCUAGGCGACGAUCCCUAGCUGGUCUGAGAGGAUGACCAGCCACACUGGAACUGAGACACGGUCCAGACUCCUACGGGAGGCAGCAGUGGGGAAUAUUGCACAAUGGGCGCAAGCCUGAUGCAGCCAUGCCGCGUGUAUGAAGAAGGCCUUCGGGUUGUAAAGUACUUUCAGCGGGGAGGAAGGGAGAGGUUAAUAACCUUCAUUGACGUUACCCGCAGAAGAAGCACCGGCUAACUCCGUGCCAGCAGCCGCGGUAAUACGGAGGGUGCAAGCGUUAAUCGGAAUUACUGGGCGUAAAGCGCACGCAGGCGGUCUGUCAAGUCGGAUGUGAAAUCCCCGGGCUUAACCUGGGAACUGCAUUCGAAACUGGCAGGCUAGAGUCUCGUAGAGGGGGGUAGAAUUCCAGGUGUAGCGGUGAAAUGCGUAGAGAUCUGGAGGAAUACCGGUGGCGAAGGCGGCCCCCUGGACGAAGACUGACGCUCAGGUGCGAAAGCGUGGGGAGCAAACAGGAUUAGAUACCCUGGUAGUCCACGCCGUAAACGAUGUCGACUUGGAGGCUGUUCCCUGAGGAGUGGCUUCCGGAGCUAACGCGUUAAGUCGACCGCCUGGGGAGUACGGCCGCAAGGUUAAACUCAAAUGAAUUGACGGGGGCCCGCACAAGCGGUGGAGCAUGUGGUUUAAUUCGAUGCAACGCGAAGAACCUUACCUGGCCUUGACAUCCACGGAAUUCUGCAGAGAUGCGGAAGUGCCUUCGGGAACCGUGAGACAGGUGCUGCAUGGCUGUCGUCAGCUCGUGUUGUGAAAUGUUGGGUUAAGUCCCGCAACGAGCGCAACCCUUAUCCUUUGUUGCCAGCGAUUCGGUCGGGAACUCAAAGGAAACUGCCGGUGAAACCGGAGGAAGGGGGGGAUGACGUCAGUCAUCAGGCCCUUACGGCA